rnacentral:rRNA from 1 species
AGUGAACGCUGGCGGUAGGCCUAACACAUGCAAGUCGAACGGCAGCACAGUAAGGGCUUGCUCUUACGGGUGGCGAGUGGCGGACGGGUGAGGAAUACAUCGGAAUCUACUUUUUCGUGGGGGAUAACGUAGGGAAACUUACGCUAAUACCGCAUACGACCUACGGGUGAAAGCAGAGGAUCUUCGGACCUUGCGCGAUUGAAUGAGCCGAUGUCGGAUUAGCUAGUUGGCGGGGUAAAGGCCCACCAAGGCGACGAUCCGUAGCUGGUCUGAGAGGAUGAUCAGCCACACUGGAACUGAGACACGGUCCAGACUCCUACGGGAGGCAGCAGUGGGGAAUAUUGGACAAUGGGCGCAAGCCUGAUCCAGCCAUACCGCGUGGGUGAAGAAGGCCUUCGGGUUGUAAAGCCCUUUUGUUGGGAAAGAAAAGCAGCAGGUUAAUACCCCGCUGUUCUGACGGUACCCAAAGAAUAAGCACCGGCUAACUUCGUG